UUCAACGUAGAGGACAGUACGCAAGUACGUAAUUUGAAAAUUACCCGUUAUUUUUUUUCCCCACUGGCACUGCUGUGCGCAUCGGACUUUUGCUGAUUUUCGUUCAUCAAACGUCUCCAAAUCACACCAAAAUGUCUUCCAGCAAUUAUUCUAGCGAUGAAAUUUCAUCAAGAGAUAGUGACUCCUCAUACUCCGAUGCCUCCUUAUCCCAUUUUAGUGAUUCUUCCCAAGAAAAUGAGCCCGACAAAUGUUCAAAAUAUUACUAGUCCCACUCGUAGAGAAACGAGUUUGUUGUCGAAUUACGGACCAUCGACGAGCGGAACUGGCCCCAGAAAACAGCUGAAAAGGAAUCGGAAAACACAACCUGCUAAAGCACCACGCAAGAAGAAGAGCAAGUCUUCCAAGUCCGAGAGUGUGUCUGCGAGAUCAAUUGAAACUAAUCAAGCUACAAUGUACAUGUAACGUACAAUCACCAUUCGAUGCCUGUGAACAGCAUGACCAACAUCUGUAUCCUUUACAUUAGUAUUUGUUUCCAUUUUAUUAUGUAAUUCUUAUGUCUAAUCAUUGAGAUUCAUAGGCAAGUACAACAUGUAUGUGUACACAAUGAGUGCCUGCAUAUUGUGAAGAUAAAGGACCAUAAGACCAUUACUUAUGAUACAUGGUAAUGAUGGUAUACUUUGUAAAACUAUUU
rnacentral:lncRNA from 1 species